rnacentral:rRNA from 1 species
UCUGGAAAGGCGCGCGAUACAGGGUGACAGCCCCGUACACAAAAGCGCAUGUGCUGUGAGCUCGAUGAGUAGGGCGGGACACGUGGUAUCCUGUCUGAAUAUGGGGGGACCAUCCUCCAAGGCUAAAUACUCCUGACUGACCGAUAGUGAACCAGUACCGUGAGGGAAAGGCGAAAAGAACCCCGGCGAGGGGAGUGAAAAAGAACCUGAAACCGUGUACGUACAAGCAGUGGGAGCACCCUUUGGGGUGUGACUGCGUACCUUUUGUAUAAUGGGUCAGCGACUUAUAUUCUGUAGCAAGGUUAACCGAAUAGGGGAGCCGGAGGGAAACCGAGUCUUAAUUGGGCGUUAAGUUGCAGGGUAUAGACCCGAAACCCGGUGAUCUAGCCAUGGGCAGGUUGAAGGUUGGGUAACACUAACUGGAGGACCGAACCGACUAAUGUUGAAAAAUUAGCGGAUGACCUGUGGCUGGGGGUGAAAGGCCAAUCAAACCGGGAGAUAGCUGGUUCUCCCCGAAAGCUAUUUAGGUAGCGCCUCGUGAAUUCAUCUCCGGGGGUAGAGCACUGUUUCGGCUAGGGGGCCAUCCCGGCUUACCAACCCGAUGCAAACUGCGAAUACCGGAGAAUGUUAUCACGGGAGACACACGGCGGGUGCUAACGUCCGUCGUGAAGAGGGAAACAACCCAGACCGCCAGCUAAGGUCCCAAAGUCAUGGUUAAGUGGGAAACGAUGUGGGAAGGCCCAGACAGCCAGGAUGUUGGCUUAGAAGCAGCCAUCAUUUAAAGAAAGCGUAAUAGCUCACUGGUCGAGUCGGCCUGCGCGGAAGAUGUAACGGGGCUAAACCAUGCACCGAAGCUGCGGCAGCGACGCUGAUGCGUUGUUGGGUAGGGGAGCGUUCUGUAAGCCUGCGAAGGUGUGUCGUGAGGCAUGCUGGAGGUAUCAGAAGUGCGAAUGCUGACAUAAGUAACGAUAAAGCGGGUGAAAAGCCCGCUCGCCGGAAGACCAAGGGUUCCUGUCCAACGUUAAUCGGGGCAGGGUGAGUCGACCCCUAAGGCGAGGCCGAAAGGCGUAGUCGAUGGGAAACGGGUUAAUAUUCCCGUACUUGGUGUUACUGCGAAGGGGGGACGGAGAAGGCUAUGUUGGCCGGGCGACGGUUGUCCCGGUUUAAGCGUGUAGGUGUGUGUUCCAGGUAAAUCCGGUUCACUUUAACACUGAGGCGUGAUGACGAGGCACUACGGUGCUGAAGCAACAAAUGCCCUGCUUCCAGGAAAAGCCUCUAAGCAUCAGGUAACAUCAAAUCGUACCCCAAACCGACACAGGUGGUCAGGUAGAGAAUACCAAGGCGCUUGAGAGAACUCGGGUGAAGGAACUAGGCAAAAUGGUGCCGUAACUUCGGGAGAAGGCACGCUGACACGUAGGUGAAGUGAUUUACUCAUGGAGCUGAAGUCAGUCGAAGAUACCAGCUGGCUGCAACUGUUUAUUAAAAACACAGCACUGUGCAAACACGAAAGUGGACGUAUACGGUGUGACGCCUGCCCGGUGCCGGAAGGUUAAUUGAUGGGGUCAGCGCAAGCGAAGCUCCUGAUCGAAGCCCCGGUAAACGGCGGCCGUAACUAUAACGGUCCUAAGGUAGCGAAAUUCCUUGUCGGGUAAGUUCCGACCUGCACGAAUGGCGUAAUGAUGGCCAGGCUGUCUCCACCCGAGACUCAGUGAAAUUGAACUCGCUGUGAAGAUGCAGUGUACCCGCGGCAAGACGGAAAGACCCCGUGAACCUUUACUAUAGCUUGACACUGAACAUUGAGCCUUGAUGUGUAGGAUAGGUGGGAGGCUUUGAAGUGUGGACGCCAGUCUGCAUGGAGCCGGCCUUGAAAUACCACCCUUUAAUGUUUGAUGUUCUAACGUGGACCCGUGAUCCGGGUUGCGGACAGUGUCUGGUGGGUAGUUUGACUGGGGCGGUCUCCUCCUAAAGAGUAACGGAGGAGCACGAAGGUUGGCUAAUCCUGGUCGGACAUCAGGAGGUUAGUGCAAUGGCAUAAGCCAGCUUGACUGCGAGCGUGACGGCGCGAGCAGGUGCGAAAGCAGGUCAUAGUGAUCCGGUGGUUCUGAAUGGAAGGGCCAUCGCUCAACGGAUAAAAGGUACUCCGGGGAUAACAGGCUGAUACCGCCCAAGAGUUCAUAUCGACGGCGGUGUUUGGCACCUCGAUGUCGGCUCAUCACAUCCUGGGGCUGAAGUAGGUCCCAAGGGUAUGGCUGUUCGCCAUUUAAAGUGGUACGCGAGCUGGGUUUAGAACGUCGUGAGACAGUUCGGUCCCUAUCUGCCGUGGGCGCUGGAGAACUGAGGGGGGCUGCUCCUAGUACGAGAGGACCGGAGUGGACGCAUCACUGGUGUUCGGGUUGUCAUGCCAAUGGCACUGCCCGGUAGCUAAAUGCGGAAGAGAUAAGUGCUGAAAGCAUCUAAGCACGAAACUUGCCCCGAGAUGAGUUCUCCCUGAGACUUAGAGUCUCCUGAAGGAACGUUGAAGACGACGACGUUGAUAGGCCGGGUGUGUAAGCGCAGCGAUGCGUUGAGCUAACCGGUACUAAUGAACCGUGAGGCUUAACCUUACAACGCCGAA